UACAGAGGUGGCAAGCGUUGUUCGGAAUUACUGGGCGUAAAGGGCGCGUAGGCGGCCUGCUAAGUCACACGUGAAAUCCCUCGGCUCAACCGGGGAACUGCGUGUGAUACUGGCGGGCUCGAAUUCGGGAGAGGGAUGUGGAAUUCCAGGUGUAGCGGUGAAAUGCGUAGAUAUCUGGAGGAACACCGGUGGCGAAGGCGGCAUCCUGGACCGAGAUUGACGCUGAUGCGCGAAAGCUAGGGUAGCAAACGGG
rnacentral:rRNA from 1 species